AUGAGAUGCAAUCGGCGUUUGGACAUGCGAGUUCACGUCGAUUUCAUCUCAUGA
rnacentral:pre_miRNA from 1 species